rnacentral:rRNA from 1 species
UACGUAGGGGCCUAGCGUUGUCCGGAUUUAUUGGGCGUAAAGAGCUCGUAGGCGGUUUGGUGAGUCGGGUGUGAAAUCUCCACGCUCAGCGUGGAGGGGCCACCCGAUACUGCCAUGACUAGAGUCCGGUAGGGGAGUGUGGAAUUCCCGGUGUAGCGGUGAAAUGCGCAGAUAUCAGGAGGAACACCAAUGGCGAAGGCAGCUCGCUGGGACGUGACUGACGCUGAGACGCGAAAGCGUGGGGAGCAAACAGG